rnacentral:rRNA from 1 species
CCUACGGGAGGCAGCAGGGAAGAAAAUGACUGUACGUGAGUAAGAAGCCCCGGCUAACUACGUGCCAGCAGCCGCGGUAAUACGUAGGGGGCAAGCGUUAUCCGGAUUUACUGGGUUUAAAGGGAGCGUAGACGGCAGUGCAAGUCUGGAGUGAAAGGCGGGGGCUCAACCCCCGGACUGCUCUGGAAACUGUACGGCUGGAGUGCAGGAGAGGUAAGUGGAAUUCCUGGUGUAGCGGUGAAAUGCGUAGAUAUUAGGAGGAACACCAGUGGCGAAGGCGGCUUACUGGACUGUAACUGACGUUGAGGCACGAAAGCGUGGGGAGCAAACAGGAUUAGAUACCCCAGUAGUC